GAUGAACGCUGGCGGCGUGCCUAAUACAUGCAAGUCGAGCGAACAGACGAGGAGCUUGCUCCUCUGACGUUAGCGGCGGACGGGUGAGUAACACGUGGAUAACCUACCUAUAAGACUGGGAUAACUUCGGGAAACCGGAGCUAAUACCGGAUAAUAUAUUGAACCGCAUGGUUCAAUAGUGAAAGACGGUUUUGCUGUCACUUAUAGAUGGAUCCGCGCCGCAUUGGCUAGUUGGUAAGGUAACGGCUUACCAAGGCGACGAUGCGUAGCCGACCUGAGAGGGUGAUCGGCCACACUGGAACUGAGACACGGUCCAGACUCCUACGGGAGGCAGCAGUAGGGAAUCUUCCGCAAUGGGCGAAAGCCUGACGGAGCAACGCCGCGUGAGUGAUGAAGGUCUUCGGAUCGUAAAACUCUGUUAUUAGGGAAGAACAAAUUUGUAAGUAACUAUGCACGUCUUGACGGUACCUAAUCAGAAAGCCACGGCUAACUACGUG
rnacentral:rRNA from 1 species